rfam:Colletotrichum orbiculare MAFF 240422 contig06808, whole genome shotgun sequence.
ACAUACGACCAUACCCACUGGACAACACGGGAUCCCAUCCGCUCUCCCGUAGAUAAGCCAGUGAGGGCCGGAUUAGUAGUUGGGUUGGUGACGACCAGCGAACACCUGGUGUUGUAUGUU